AUGUGUGCUUCCAAGAGAGAAGGAGGGCUCGGUUUCCGCGAUCAUGAAGGUUUCAACCACGCACUUUUGGCUAAACAAGCGUGGCGGAUCCUGACUACUCCUUCUUCAAUGUGUGCUAGGGUGCUCAAGGCCAGGUAUUUCCAAGAUGAAUCAAUUCUGUCAGCUAUAAUUCCAUCAAAUUCAUCUUUCACAUACCGCAGCAUUUUGCAUGGUCGGGAUCUCUUGAGAGAAGGCCUUGUGUGGAGGGUGGGCGAUGGUUCAAGAGUUAACAUUCACAAUUAUAAUUGGAUUCCGAGAUAG
rnacentral:rRNA from 1 species